rnacentral:rRNA from 1 species
CACGUGGAUAACCUACCCUUGGGACUGGGAUAACCCCGGGAAACUGGGGAUAAUACCGGAUAGAUCAGGGAUGCUGGAAUGCGCCUUGAUCCAAAGCUCCGGCGCCCAAGGAUGGGUCUGCGGCCUAUCAGGUUGUAGUGGGUGUAACGUACCUACUAGCCGACGACGGGUACGGGUUGUGAGAGCAAGAGCCCGGAGAUGGAUUCUGAGACACGAAUCCAGGCCCUACGGGGUGCAGCAGGCGCGAAACCUUUACAAUGUGCGAAAGCAUGAUAAGGGAACUCCGAGUGCCAGCAUCUAAUGCUGGCUGUCCUUGUGCCUAAAACGCACAAGAUAGCAAGGGCCGGGUAAGACCGGUGCCAGCCGCCGCGGUAACACCGGCGGCCCGAGUGGUAGCCGCUAUUAUUGGGUCUAAAGGGUCCGUAGCCGGUUCGAUAAGUCCUCUGGGAAAUCUGGUUGCUUAACAAUCAGACUGCCAAGGGAUACUGUCGAACUUGAGACCGGGAGAGGUAAGAGGUACUUCAGGGGUAGGAGUGAAAUCUUGUAAUCCCUGGGGGACCAUCUGUGGCGAAGGCGUCUUACCAAAACGGGUCUGACGGUGAGGGACGAAAGCUGGGGGCGCAAACCGGAUUAGAUACCCGGGUAGUCCCAGCCGUAAACGAUGCUCGCUAUGUGUCAGGUACGGUGUGACCGUAUCUGGUGCCGUAGGGAAGCCGUGAAGCGAGCCACCUGGGAAGUACGGUCGCAAGACUGAAACUUAAAGGAAUUGGCGGGGGAGCACUACAACGGGUGGAGCCUGCGGUUUAAUUGGAUUCAACGCCGGAAAUCUUACCGGGGGAGACAGCAGCAUGAAGGUCAGGCUGAAGACCUUACCAGAUCCGCUGAGAGGAAGUGCAUGGCCGUCGUCAGUUCGUACUGUGAAGCAUCCUGUUAAGUCAGGCAACGAGCGAGACCCGUGCCCACAGUUGCCAGCAUACCCUUCGGGGUGAUGGGUACUUUGUGGGGACCGCCGCUGCUAAAGCGGAGGAAGGAGCGGGUUACGGUAGGUCAGUAUGCUCCGAAACUCCCGGGCUACACGCGGGCUACAAUGG